rnacentral:rRNA from 1 species
GGUUAAGCGACUAAGCGUACACGGUGGAUGCCCUGGCAGUCAGAGGCGAUGAAGGACGUGCUAAUCUGCGAUAAGCGUCGGUAAGGUGAUAUGAACCGUUAUAACCGGCGAUUUCCGAAUGGGGAAACCCAGUGUGAUUCGUCACACUAUCAUUAACUGAAUCCAUAGGUUAAUGAGGCGAACCGGGGGAACUGAAACAUCUAAGUACCCCGAGGAAAAGAAAUCAACCGAGAUUCCCCCAGUAGCGGCGAGCGAACGGGGAGGAGCCCAGAGCCUGAAUCAGUGUGUGUGUUAGUGGAAGCGUCUGGAAAGGCGCGCGAUACAGGGUGACAGCCCCGUACACAAAAAUGCACAUGCUGUGAGCUCGAUGAGUAGGGCGGGACACGUGGUAUCCUGUCUGAAUAUGGGGGACCAUCCUCCAAGGCUAAAUACUCCUGACUGACCGAUAGUGAACCAGUACCGUGAGGGAAAGGCGAAAAGAACCCCGGCGAGGGGAGUGAAAAAGAACCUGAAACCGUGUACGUACAAGCAGUGGGAGCCUCUUAAUGGGGUGACUGCGUACCUUUUGUAUAAUGGGUCAGCGACUUAUAUUCUGUAGCAAGGUUAACCGAAUAGGGGAGCCGAAGGGAAACCGAGUCUUAACUGGGCGUUAAGUUGCAGGGUAUAGACCCGAAACCCGGUGAUCUAGCCAUGGGCAGGUUGAAGGUUGGGUAACACUAACUGGAGGACCGAACCGACUAAUGUUGAAAAAUUAGCGGAUGACUUGUGGCUGGGGGUGAAAGGCCAAUCAAACCGGGAGAUAGCUGGUUCUCCCCGAAAGCUAUUUAGGUAGCGCCUCGUGAAUUCAUCUCCGGGGGUAGAGCACUGUUUCGGCAAGGGGGUCAUCCCGACUUACCAACCCGAUGCAAACUGCGAAUACCGGAGAAUGUUAUCACGGGAGACACACGGCGGGUGCUAACGUCCGUCGUGAAGAGGGAAACAACCCAGACCGCCAGCUAAGGUCCCAAAGUCAUGGUUAAGUGGGAAACGAUGUGGGAAGGCCCAGACAGCCAGGAUGUUGGCUUAGAAGCAGCCAUCAUUUAAAGAAAGCGUAAUAGCUCACUGGUCGAGUCGGCCUGCGCGGAAGAUGUAACGGGGCUAAACCAUGCACCGAAGCUGCGGCAGCGACACUAUGUGUUGUUGGGUAGGGGAGCGUUCUGUAAGCCUGUGAAGGUGGCCUGUGAGGGUUGCUGGAGGUAUCAGAAGUGCGAAUGCUGACAUAAGUAACGAUAAAGCGGGUGAAAAGCCCGCUCGCCGGAAGACCAAGGGUUCCUGUCCAACGUUAAUCGGGGCAGGGUGAGUCGACCCCUAAGGCGAGGCCGAAAGGCGUAGUCGAUGGGAAACAGGUUAAUAUUCCUGUACUUGGUGUUACUGCGAAGGGGGGACGGAGAAGGCUAUGUUGGCCGGGCGACGGUUGUCCCGGUUUAAGCGUGUAGGCUGGUUUUCCAGGCAAAUCCGGAAAACCAAGGCUGAGGCGUGAUGACGAGGCACUACGGUGCUGAAGUGACAAAUGCCCUGCUUCCAGGAAAAGCCUCUAAGCAUCAGGUAACAUCAAAUCGUACCCCAAACCGACACAGGUGGUCAGGUAGAGAAUACCAAGGCGCUUGAGAGAACUCGGGUGAAGGAACUAGGCAAAAUGGUGCCGUAACUUCGGGAGAAGGCACGCUGAUAUGUAGGUGAAGCGACUUGCUCGUGGAGCUGAAAUCAGUCGAAGAUACCAGCUGGCUGCAACUGUUUAUUAAAAACACAGCACUGUGCAAACACGAAAGUGGACGUAUACGGUGUGACGCCUGCCCGGUGCCGGAAGGUUAAUUGAUGGGGUUAGCGGUAACGCGAAGCUCUUGAUCGAAGCCCCGGUAAACGGCGGCCGUAACUAUAACGGUCCUAAGGUAGCGAAAUUCCUUGUCGGGUAAGUUCCGACCUGCACGAAUGGCGUAAUGAUGGCCAGGCUGUCUCCACCCGAGACUCAGUGAAAUUGAACUCGCUGUGAAGAUGCAGUGUACCCGCGGCAAGACGGAAAGACCCCGUGAACCUUUACUAUAGCUUGACACUGAACAUUGAGCCUUGAUGUGUAGGAUAGGUGGGAGGCUUUGAAGUGUGGACGCCAGUCUGCAUGGAGCCGACCUUGAAAUACCACCCUUUAAUGUUUGAUGUUCUAACGUUGGCCCCUAAUCGGGGUUGCGGACAGUGUCUGGUGGGUAGUUUGACUGGGGCGGUCUCCUCCUAAAGAGUAACGGAGGAGCACGAAGGUUGGCUAAUCCUGGUCGGACAUCAGGAGGUUAGUGCAAUGGCAUAAGCCAGCUUGACUGCGAGCGUGACGGCGCGAGCAGGUGCGAAAGCAGGUCAUAGUGAUCCGGUGGUUCUGAAUGGAAGGGCCAUCGCUCAACGGAUAAAAGGUACUCCGGGGAUAACAGGCUGAUACCGCCCAAGAGUUCAUAUCGACGGCGGUGUUUGGCACCUCGAUGUCGGCUCAUCACAUCCUGGGGCUGAAGUAGGUCCCAAGGGUAUGGCUGUUCGCCAUUUAAAGUGGUACGCGAGCUGGGUUUAGAACGUCGUGAGACAGUUCGGUCCCUAUCUGCCGUGGGCGCUGGAGAACUGAGGGGGCUGCUCCUAGUACGAGAGGACCGGAGUGGACGCAUCACUGGUGUUCGGGUUGUCAUGCCAAUGGCACUGCCCGGUAGCUAAAUGCGGAAGAGAUAAGUGCUGAAAGCAUCUAAGCACGAAACUUGCCCCGAGAUGAGUUCUCCCUGAGACUUAGAGUCUCCUGAAGGAACGUUGAAGACGACGACGUUGAUAGGCCGGGUGUGUAAGCGCAGCGAUGCGUUGAGCUAACCGGUACUAAUGAACCGUGAGGCUUAACCUU